CGCUUACCUGCGGCGGAGGUCCUCAGCAAUGGCGGCACGGCAACUGAAUAGGGUGUUAAACCUGAUCUGGUGAAUAAGAUGGUGGUCCUCGAAGCCCGACCAAAAGAAGGCUUGUAGAAGGAAUCAGAAGCAACCUGUAGAGGAGAGUAACUUCCCCACCAUCAGUAUGGGUUCCUUAUCCAUCCUGAUGCCCCAUGGAUGGGCUCCCCUAAAAGAUCCCAGCAGAUCUAUUUUCGCUGUUUAGUGCCAGAACCUUUGGCUCCAAUCAGAAACGGCGAUACUCUAGUCCUGGAACACUAUUGGUCGGUGACGCGACGAUAACGAAACUUAAGUGACGCGAAGUGCAGUAGAAACAAAGCACAGCCUCGCCAGACUAAUGUUCAAUCUU